rnacentral:pre_miRNA from 8 species
CUUUCUGCGCAGGUUGGGAUUGGUAGCAAUGCUGUGUGUUUUGAAGGUAUUGCACUUGUCCCGGCCUGUAAAGGAUUG